UUUUUUUUUUUGAUACAUGUUGCUGGUUGGUUCUCCAGGGUACAAAUUCAGGUGGAGAUUAACAUUGGGAUGAGUAUUAGGGGUACCUUUGGGGUCAACACUUGUGGAAUCAAGAGGAAAGAAACAUGAUAGGGUAGAGGGAGAGUUCAAGCUGAACCACUGCCCAGACGACCUUAGCUGACCCCAUGGGGUCUCUGGAUGAAGGUGGCCCCUUGGGGUUUCCUGACACAUCCAGUGGCCAGGCCUUUAUGCCUCCACCUGAUGGUCAUUGCAUGUAUGUGGCCUGCAGAAGGGCUGGUGGUUUAAGGCUGCCCAUUGGCAGCACUUCCAACAGCUGGACAACAAGCCCUUGAAGGAAGGUCUGAAUGGCACGUGUCCAUGUCUCCCACCUAUGUGUCACAGCUGCAGAGGUAGAUGGUUAAGGUGUAUGUACUGUGGAGGGAUGCUCUUGGUGACUGAUGUAAGUCAAAAUGAUUAAAUGCUUCUCCUAAAUACCCUGUGGUCUGAAAAUAAAGGAGCAGGUCCACGUAGGGGAGAAACCCUCAUUCUCUGGGGUCAGCCCAGUGUUCAGCUCUUCAGGAAGCCAUCAGUCAUCAUCCUAGGUAACUCGUGUUGCUGUAAUGCCCUCAACACCUCUCAUUUGUUAAAAUGAACCAUACUUGGUUAAUGUCCUAUUUUAGCCAUCUUUAGAUACUUAUUUUUAAAACAAGGGACCCUGCUUUUUCCAUUUUGCACUGAGUCCUGUAAAUUAUGUAGCCUGCCCUAACUAUGAGUAUUCAUUCUUGGGUGGUCUGUUUUGUCAAUAAACCAUGAGCUUCUAAAGACUUGGAACUGUGCCCUAUUAACUUUUAAUUACAUCUUCCAGCACAAUGUCUGUCAUGGGGAGUGCUCAGUAAAUGUUUGCUGAAUGAAUGAAUGAUGACCCUCCUUCUAAACUUUAUAAUUUUGAAAUAGUGAACCCUGGUUUUGGAGUCAGUCACACAUAUCUGCUUGCCAGUUCUUGGUCUGCCUCUCACUAGGAAUGUGGGUGCCAAAGAAUGUAUUCUUCAAAGUAGAAGACUUGAGAAUGAAAGGAUAACCAACCAAGGUGCCAGGGCAAAAAACUGGCACCAUCCUUGACAAAAUGGGCUAUGGUCACCCUGAGCCAUGUAGGCUUCAUUACAUGCUUGGGUAAGUGUCUCAACUUCUGAAUCUCAGACUCUUCAUAUGGAAAAUGACUAUAAUUCCUGUCCUUGAAUAGUUUUUUUGUUAUGGUGAUGGAUGGACCAAGAACAUGCAAAGAAACAAUGGAUGGAAUCAUUGACCUUGGUGAUUCUUAGUUAUCAAGAGAGAAGAGCAAGGUGAAGGUAGGUUUGCAGACUGUAGAAGGUGUAUUUUAGGAGGUCCUCACCUGAUGGCCUAAACUAAACUGUUCUUCCUUCAUAUACAGGUAAAAUAAAACAGGGAAGAGCACAAGGUCUGGCAACAGCCUUCCAGGGUCAAACACUGGCUCCUCUGGAAACUGCCUGGUUUUGGACACAAGUUUGUUUCCUGCUAAUUGUGUGCUCUUAAGGUUGGGAAGCCUACUGGGUUUCAGUUUCUUUGUCUGAAAGCUGAGAUGAGGAUAGUAUGUUUCUCAAAGGGCUGCUGUAAAAAUUAGACAGUGACACUCAUGUUAAGGUCUAUGGGCUAGUGCUGGUCCAUGAACUUUUGUAACUAGGUUAGAAAUAAGUACAGGAAUAUUAAGGCUAGAAAUGUGUAGCCAUCUGACAUGGCUGUGAUAUCCACACUCAGGAUGGGUGGGAUCUUGAACAGCCCAGAGACUGGGCUGAGCGUUGCACUAGCAGGAGAGGUGUAUGUGGUUGAGUUGCACACUAGCCAUGCACAAUGGGAUUGCUGAAUAUGUGCAAUGGGCUGAAAAUAUAAAAUUAAACUGAUUCUUAACCCCAGAUAGUUGAGAACCCCUGCUUUAUAGCAAUACUGAUAUGUGAUUGGCUCUCAGCACUACCCUUUUUAAUAAUUGUUACAAUGAUAUUUACAUUUAAAAUUAGACCACAUAGGCUUUCAAAAAGUCCUAUUAUGUAUUAGCAAUAUUUUUAAUAGCAUUAAAAAGUUUUAUAUCUAAGCUGUUGAUUGUCUUGAAAAACUGAAAGAAUAUGAAUUAAGUAGCUUUUUCUUUUUAUAUCUAAUGUUCUAAGAAAAACUAAAACAGCAGCAUGUGUACUGAAAAACCAAAGAGAAAUACAUAUGUAUUUGAAUUUAGAACCAAAAAUAAUAUUAAUAGAAGGAAUAACAUGUCCCAGCCUGUAACACCUCCAUCUAUGCUCAAAACUCAUCUUUGGGGGUCAAAUUGGGAUUGUAUGAUUUUUCAAGAAGAACUAAGAUCACCAUUUAGAUACACUGAGAAUGUUUUACAGAAAGCCUACAUUGGAUGGUUCUGACGAAACACCAUCUUUCACUUAGCAAGCAUCUCAUAAAACAAGCCCACUCACAAUUAUCCAUCCCACUAGAUGGAAGCUUUGGGGAUUCCAAAAGAGUGUUUGAUCCAAAAGAUAAUCAUAUUUAAUUUUACAUGAGAAACAUUUUUAAAAUUUUGCAGACUAUCUAGACAAAUAUUCUUAAAAGAGUCUCUGUGAGAAGGAGUUUAUAUCACAUUUGAACUGGUAUAAGUAAUUCAAGAGGAGACUGAGGAUUUUAAAACUUUUCAUUUUAUAACACAAUUUUAAAAAUCCAUCCAAUUUAUACUGACUCUAAUAAGAUAGGAAAGUUCUUUUUUGCAGUAGAAUGCCAGCAAAUGUAGAAAGAUUGGCAGAAAAUGUACAUAUGGCGGCCGUCAUCAUCAUAAGUAAUUCAUAUAAAAUUCAAUAUUGGCUUAUAAAUGAAUAUAGAGUGGACAUUUGAAAGGUAAGGGAAGAUAGGGAAUUUUCAUAGACUGGAAGUAUCUUCUCUGAUUAAUUAGUUAAUAAGGGAGGAAUUGUAUCUUUAAAGUGGAAAAUUCUGGCUGGCAGCACCCUUACCAAGUGACCAGAGGUAACUUUACUAAUAAUGGAGCAACCAGCACCCUUGGCUCUUGAUUGUGUGAGAUAAUGAUGACAAUAUCAUUUCUGUGGUACUCUUGCUGCUGUCCCCAAAGAAGAAAAAGGCAUAGCCUAAAUCAAAUUGACAACCCAAAGCGACAUUCUACAAAAACAACUGGCCCAUACUCUAAAAAUGUCAAUGACAGUCCCCACCCUCCUCUCCUGGGAGCUGGCCCAGCCCCAUGUAGAGACCCUCCUGCCUAGAUAGGCUUCUGUGCUCCUGCCACCUCAGGGGUGGCCCCCUGUGGGUUGUGAACAUGCAGAGAUGGGGCUGAAAUCACAGCUGAUCAGGGAAAAUAAAAGCUGGCUCUUGGAAAAGGUCAAUAUAUUGAUAAACAUUUAGCCAGACUCAUCAAGAAAAAAAGGGAGAGGGUGGAAAUCAAUAAAAUUAGAAAUAAAAAGGAAGUUAGAACUGACACUACAGAAUGCAAAGGAUCAUAUGAGACGACUACAAUCAACUAUAUGCCAAUAAAAUGGACAACUUCCUACAAAGGUAGAACCUUCCAAGACUGAGCAAGGAAGUAAUGGAAAAUAUGAGUAGCCAUUGAAAAGUACUGAAGCUGUGAUUUUUAAAACUUCCACAAAGCAAAAGUCCAGGACCAGAUGGCUUCAAUCAAACAUUUAGAGAAGAGUUAACAUCUAUCCUUCUGAAACUCUUCCAGAUAAGUACAGAGGAAGGAAUACUCCGAAGCUCAUUUUAUCAGGCCACUCACCCUCAUACCAAAAUAAAGAUACCAGAAAAAAAAGAAAAUUAUAGGUCCAUAUCACUGAUGAACAUAGAAAAAUCUGCAGCAAAAUAUCAACAAAGCAAUUCCAGCAAUAUAUUAAAAGGAUCAUACACUAUAAUCAAGUGGAAUUUAUCCCAGGGAUGCAAGGAUUUGUCAGUAGCUGCAAAUCAAUAGUGUGAUAUAGCACAUAAACAAGGUCAAGAAUAAAAACCAUUUGGUCAUCUCAAUAGAUACAGAAAAAGCUUUUAACAUAAUUCAACACCCAAUUUUUUUUUUAUUAAAAAAAACUCUCCAGAACGUGGGCAUAGAGAGAACCUACCUACCUCAACAUAAUAAAGGCCAUACAUGACAAACCCACAGCUAACAUCAUUCUCAAUAGUGAAAAGCUGAAAGAAUCCCUCCUAAGAUCAAGAACAAGACAAGGAUGUCCACUCUCACCACUUUUAUUUAGAAUAGUUUUUGCAAGUCCUAGACAUGGAAAUCAGAGGAGAAAAAGAACCCAAAUUUGAAACAAAGAAGUAAAACUGUCACUGUUUGCAGAUGACAUGAUACUAUACAUAGAAAAUCCUAAAGAUGCUACCAGAAAACUAUUAGAGUUCAUCAAUAUAUUCAGUCAAGUUUCAGGAUACAAAAUUAAUACACAGCUCUUGCAUUCAUAUAUUAACAAUGAAAAUCGGAAGGAGAAAUUAAGGAAAUGAUCACAUUUACCAUCACAACAAAAAUAUGAAAUACCUAGAAAUAAACCUACCUGAAGAGGCAAAAGCCUGUACACUCUGAAAACUCUAGGAUAAUGAUGAAGGAAAUCAAACACGACACAAAUAGGUGGAAAGAUCUACCAUGCUCUUGGACUGGAGAAAUCAAUACUGUCAAAAUGACUAUACUGCCCAAGGCAAUCUACAGAUUCACUGUAAUCCCUAUCAAACUACCAAUGACAUUUUUCAUAGAACUACAACAGAAAAGUUUCAAUUCAUUUGGAGACACAAGAGACCCAAAGAAAUCUUGAAAAAGAAAAAUAGGAAGAGGAGGCAAGAUGGUGGAAGAGCAAGAGGACGUGCUCACCCUCUCCCACAAACACACACAAAAAACACAUCUACAUGUAAAAUGACUCACACAGAACAUCAACUGAAUGCUGGCAGAAGAACUUAAACUUUCAAAAAGGGCUAGAAACUCUUGACAUAACUGGGUAGAACAAAGGAAAAAGAAAAUGAAGCAGGAUGGGACGAGCACGACCGUGAGAGACCUGUGAAGGAUGGCUUCCCACACCCUGGAAGCCAUCUAACCAAUGGAAAUAUCAGCCAAGUCGGAGGGACCUCCAAGAUGCCGAGAAAAGUGCAGUAGCAGGUCUGAGAACCAAAAAGCAGAGUGAGAGAUGCACAGAUCAUCUCAACCACUGGCACAGACACCACAGCCUGAGGUGGGGGCUGGGCACUGAGACAUAGGCUUCAGAGGUCAGUCCCUGGGAGCGGGUUGGGGUUGGCAAUGAGGAGAAAGCCUAAGGGACUAGGGAGCGGUGCAUUGGGGGCUGGGGGAGCAGUACACUAAGGGUUGAAGAGUGGAAAGCCACAGCAGAGGGAACCUGGGAGAAGGUCUAGACCUGCAGGAGAGACAAGGUGCCAUUGUUGGGAAGGGGAGAGGAAGGGGGGGGUCACCAUAGAAAACUCUUUGCACCACAGCAUGCGCACUUGCCUGCUGGCUUGCAGAGAGUGGAGCAUUCCCAGUGCACCCUACCCCCACCACAACCUGCAGCCAGAAGCCACUUGCCAUCUGCCAUGGACUGGACCCCCCCCACCCUCAAGAAGCUGACUCACCAGCCUGCUGUACUCCGGGCACCCACCCUCAUGGAGCCGCCCUGCCGGCCUGCCCUGGACGUGUGUCAAACUACAGUUUGGCUUCCCCAAAUUCACAGAAAAAGAAAAACACAAGCACAAUGAAGAAGCUCAGAAAAUAUUCCCAGUUAAUGCAACAGGGGAAUUCACCUAAAGCAAUCAACAAUGAAACAGACCUCUGCAGUCUUACAGACUUUGAGUUCAAAAGGGACACAGUGAAAAUACUGAAGGAAUUGGGAGGAUAUGAACAGUAAUGCAGAUCCCCUCAGAAAGGAACUAGAAAAUAUGAGGAGGAGCCAGGAAAAACUAGAAAAUUCAUUUGCAGAGGUACAAACCGAGCUAAAGGCAAUAAAGACCAGAAUGAAUAAUCCAGAGGAAUGAAUUAGUGACGCGGAAGAUAGAAGAAUGGAAAUCACCCAAACAGGAGAGCAGACAGAAAACCAAAUAAAAAAAACAUGAAAGCAAUAUGAGACCUAUGGGAUAAUAUAAAGCUGGCCAAUAUAUGCAUAAUAGAGAAUUCCAGAAGGAGAAGAAAAAGAAAAGGGAAUUGAAAAUAUAUUUGAAGAAAUUAUGGGUGAAAACUUUCCAAAUCUAAAGGCUACUGCUGUCAAGAUAUAGGAAGUACAGAGGGCUCCAAACAAGUUGAACCCAACAGGCCCACACCAAGACAUAUUAUAGUAAAAAUGGCAAAAGUUAAAGAGAGGAUUCUAAAGGCAGCAACAGAAAAGCAAAGCGAUAAUUAUAAGGGAACCCCAUAAGGCCAUCAGCUGAUUUCUCCAUAGAAACACUACAGGCCAGAAGGGAGUGGCAAGAUAUAUUUAAAGUGCUGAAAGGAAAAAAUCUGCAACCUAGAAUACUCUAUCCAGCAAGAAUAUCAUUUAAAAU
rnacentral:lncRNA from 1 species